rnacentral:lncRNA from 1 species
CGGGGCGACAGCUGGACCCGGCUGCCUGUCCUGCCUGAACUCAAGGCCCGUCGCCUCCUUUCAGGUGGACAGGAGGAGGCUGAUCCACCCGUUUCGGGGUGCAGGGACCUCGGGAUCUCGAAGACCCCCAGAAAAGCGCGGUGAGGCCGUGAAAGGAGGCGCUUGGGCGCCGGGCUGCAGGAAUGCCAGCGGGUCCCUGAAGGAAGAGCAGGGAGCGAGCCGGUGCGUCCUGGACCCUGCGGGACCCGGAGACCACGCAAACUCCGUAGAGACACGGAAGAAAGGAAAGAGCAAGGUGUAGCUGAUUAGCAAGUUAAUUAUUUCAGUACCCCAAGGGUUCCAGUGUGGUGGAGACAGUCCGUGGCACCGGGCUCUGGAGAGACGACUUCCUGACUUCAGCGGUGUGAAGAUGGUACAAUACUUUUUGGUGCUGACAUUCAGCUGUCCCCCAGGCAGGUUCGCUGAUAUCCCUGCUGGUGGAGAGGGGCUGGGGGCUGUCUGGAAAUAUAGCUCUGCUGACAGGGUGGCAGAGGAUUUGGGGUCCAAUCGCUGUUCAAAUUAGACUUGGCAGUCUUUACCUCGGAGGCCUCAGGAGUCUCAGGGGUCUCAGUAGGAGAGAAGUUACAGAAACUUAGAACACAGGAAGGCAGAUGUCGGGGGCUCCUUGUCUCAGUCCUUGUACUGCCAUGCUAAAGCAAAGCCCAGGGAUAGUAGAAAGAGAUCCCAGAGAGCAGGGCUGUGAGGUUCCAGGUGGGAUCUUGGCCCUGGCUCCUGGGAGAUUAAGAAUUCCUCUGCAAGUUUUGGAAAGUCCUACAAGAGCCAUUUAUUCAUAAUCUUUGGGCAGUAAAUGCGACCUCUUUUCACUGCUCAGUGGCUGGUAGGGGAGCAUUUCCAGCUUGUCUGGCCCUCAUUUGGGAGUCUAUCAUUUUCUUGCUCAUGUUCCAGUUUGGACUUAUAGAUGAAAACCCCAAACUUCCCAGCGCUUGUGUUUUUCUUUUCUCUCAGGCCAUUCAUAAUCUAGCCAACAUUGUAGGCCAUUGGCCCACACACAUUUUGAAAGGUGAGCCAGCAGGCCUGUUCCUGUGUGCAAGGUCGUUUUCAUCCGGGCUCAAGGGAGGAUAUAGUUUCCCCUUAAAGGAGAGAAGCAGGAAACGAUUUCUAUGAAUCUUUUAACGAAGGAUUUACUACUAAUUUGAUAAGUUCAAUGCUCUUUUUACUCAUUCUGAGUGAAUAACGUUGUCAGUCAACCCAAGCGGCUGCCGAACCUAUAAAAAUGUGUCCUUUGGUCUCCCUGUUUAACACAUGCAGGGGCUUGGCCCUGCCUCUGACAGACGGGAGGAGUAGAAACAUUCCAGAGAUCAGGUCUCAGAGUGUUAUCUCUUCCUCCAUCCCAAAUCCUCACCCUCCAUUUUAUCUUUCUUUGCUACAAAUGCAGAGACCUCCUAGGGAAGUGUGAAAGGAUGGGUUUUAAUCAGGUUUAGAGAAGGAAGGGGAAUAAGUUGAACCCAAAGAAAGAUGGGGACAGUUGGAAUUUUUUGAUGAUGCUUUGUUAUACCUCUCAUGUGUUGUAUAUUAUAUCCUACAAAUUAUGCAUUUAUUGCAAGAAUCUACAGUGUAUAUGCGGCAUUUGCCAAAUGCUGCUUGGCCAAAACAGUGUUAAAUAAAAUUGUAAGAAAUGCG